GGUUUACUACAAAGCUGUGAAGAAGCUUCUCCACACAGGAUUCAAAAUGAUGAGCAAAAUCGGGUAUCUUAAAAAGGACUCUGAAGGCUCCCUCAACUACACUAUUGUAAAUCAAGAUCCUGAAGAAGAAGGAAGUUCACCUCUUCUUGGAGAUCAGACAGAGAUGGUGGAGGACCCCUACGAGUUCUACAGUCUCCAGAGUCCGGAUCCACCACAAACAGCUGAUGGGACUCUCAGUCUCACUAUCACUGAAGCAUCACCUGCUUGUUUUUAAAUAAAAGCUCUGUGUCUGAUUUCCUUUUUUAUAU
ensembl:lncRNA